rnacentral:lncRNA from 1 species
GAUUUCUGUAUGGAAUAGCUUAUGAAUUUCACUUCUUAUGAUAAGAGAUCACAAAGUCUAUAAAAAAUCUUGGAGUUGGAAUAGUCAAAUUGUUUGAUCAAAUAUGAAGAAUUAUGGGUUUCAAAAGGAGUGUCCAAUACUGACAUUGGUUAAAAUAUGGUUGAAUAUAGAUUUUUCUAUGAAAGAUAUAAAGUGAGCAUCCUAAAGAUCUAUAGAAAUAGAUGUAAUUGGAUGCUUGUAUUUUUAUAGAUAAAGUACGA